UACAGAGGGGGCAAGCGUUGUUCGGAAUUACUGGGCGUAAAGGGCGCGUAGGCGGCCGCCUAAGUCAGACGUGAAAUCCCUCGGCUCAACCGGGGGAACUGCGUCUGAUACUGGGGUGGCUUGAAUUCGGGAGAGGGAUGCGGAAUUCCAGGUGUAGCGGUGAAAUGCGUAGAUAUCUGGAGGAAUACCGGUGGCGAAGGCGGCAUCUGGACCGGCAUUGACGCUGAGGAGCGAAAGCCAGGGGAGCAAAGCGGG
rnacentral:rRNA from 1 species